GAUGAAGAACGUAGUGAAAUGCGAUAACUAAUGUGAAUUGCAGAAUUCCGUGAAUCAUCGAGUCUUUGAACGCACAUUGCGCCCCCUGGUAUUCCGGGGGGCAUGCCUGUCCGAGCGUCAUUGCUGCCCAUCAAGCACGGCUUGUGUGUUGGGUCCUCGUCCCCCCCGGGGGACGUGCCCGAAAGGCAGCGGCGGCACCGCGCCCGGUCCUCGAGCGUAUGGGGCUUUGUCACCCGCUCUGCAGGCCCGGCCGGCGCUGGCCGACGCGAAAGCAACCAUUUUUUCUCCAGGUUGACCUCGGAUCAGGUAGGGAUACCCGCUGAACUUAAGCAUAUCAAUAAGCGGAGGA
rnacentral:misc_RNA from 1 species